CUCGCUUUUGUUCUUUUUGUGCUGCACUGGCUGAAAAAUAACCCAGUAAAGAAAAAAAAUAAAAAAAGCUGCAGGCUCAGCUGGGUCAUUUCCUCAUCCCACAGCCACAAAAAGCACACGUGGGUCCCUCCAGGGAGGGGGGCAGCCCUCACAUGGGGCCCGAGCCCACCAGCCCCAAACCUGCCCACCCAGGAUCUGCUCUGGUUUGUGCAGGAGCAUUUCUGCUUUUGAAAAGACUCUGCGGGUCUUUUUGCCACCAGGGUAACUUCACCUCUAGGAAAGGGGAAAUUAGUCUGCAAUUAUGUAAUUAUCAGCCGACCUGAAGCUCAAUUAAUGCAUUUUGUAACUCUUCCGGAGAAGGGGGGAGGCCUGUUGGGUGUAAAUAUGAACCACGGGGAUUUCUCCCUCCAGCUUUGUCUGGCUCUGUUUUUAACAGCAGUAACAGAGUGGUGCUUAAAGCAAACUGAAUUCAGAGCAGGCAGGCUUUGCCUCUGCAGCUCUGAGCUGGGCAUGGCCAGGCUGGGCUUAUUUCAAACCCUGCCUGUAUGAAUGGAGCUGGGGCAGCACCAGGAAUUCUGCUGGAAUGGCCCAGAGCAGCCCUGCAAGGAGUACUCCAAGUUCCUGGGAUGCAUUUCCUGAUUUACCUCCUGGAUUUACCUCCCCAUGGAUUGUACAGCAGAGCAUAACUCUCUGAAAAUCCCCUAAAAUCCUCUGCUCUCCACUUUGCACUGGGGGUGCUCCCCAAGGUUAAGCAGCCUCUCCAAUACUGAGGUGCAGAGUUAAGCAGGGGCAGUGGCACCAAAAUAAGGUUUGGCGUAGAUAAAGAAUUUAGUAAGGCCUUGAAAUGUCAUGUAACAAGGCAAGGCUUGAUCCUGUCACUGCACAAACACCAGAUUUCUUGUCCCAAGGGGUGCUGCAGCCUCCCCUGCAGUGGAUUUGCUCCCUGAAGCUGCUUCACCAGCUGCCAGCCUGGCCAGGGAGUGCCACUGCAGCGCAGGAGGGAAAGGACAGAGGAAUCCCUCAAUUCACCUUUGCAAUCUUACUCAGUCCUGGGGAGUGGGGUGUCCAGCUCUCCUGUUGUGCCACAGCCAGAGAGCAGCAUCUUCUCCCACAUCCAUCCUCCAAAGCUCACCUCGUUCCCCAGCACAGCCCAGAGCUCAGGUUUCCAGCUCCCACAGUAUUUGAGGUUUCAUUUAGAACUGAAGUUCCUAGAGAAACAAACGCUUGUAAGAGAAGCCUUUCUUCUGCACAUCUCUAAAGUAAUCUUAAAAUAUGGGAUAAUAAAGGAAAGCUUGAAAAUGUGGGGUCUUGGUGU
rnacentral:lncRNA from 1 species